rnacentral:rRNA from 1 species
GGGGAAUAUUGGACAAUGGGCGCAAGCCUGAUCCAGCCAUGCCGCGUGAGUGAUGAAGGCCUUAGGGUUGUAAAGCUCUUUCACCGGUGAAGAUAAUGACGGUAACCGGAGAAGAAGCCCCGGCUAACUUCGUGCCAGCAGCCGCGGUAAUACGAAGGGGGCUAGCGUUGUUCGGAAUUACUGGGCGUAAAGCGCACGUAGGCGGAUAUUUAAGUCAGGGGUGAAAUCCCAGAGCUCAACUCUGGAACUGCCUUUGAUACUGGGUAUCUUGAGUAUGGAAGAGGUAAGUGGAAUUGCGAGUGUAGAGGUGAAAUUCGUAGAUAUUCGCAGGAACACCAGUGGCGAAGGCGGCUUACUGGUCCAUUACUGACGCUGAGGUGCGAAAGCGUGGGGAGCAAAC